AGUGAACGCUGGCGGUAGGCCUAACACAUGCAAGUCGAACGGCAGCACAGUAAGAGCUUGCUCUUACGGGUGGCGAGUGGCGGACGGGUGAGGAAUACAUCGGAAUCUACUUUUUCGUGGGGGAUAAUGUAGGGAAACUUACGCUAAUACCGCAUACGACCUACGGGUGAAAGCAGGGGAUCUUCGGACCUUGCGCGAUUGAAUGAGCCGAUGUCGGAUUAGCUAGUUGGCGGGGUAAAGGCCCACCAAGGCGACGAUCCGUAGCUGGUCUGAGAGGAUGAUCAGCCACACUGGAACGGAGACACGGUCCAGACUCCUACGGGAGGCAGCAGUGGGGAAUAUUGGACAAUGGGCGCAAGCCUGAUCCAGCCAUACCGCGUGUGUGAAGAAGGCCUUCGGGUUGUAAAGCCCUUUUGUUGGGAAAGAAAAGCAGCAGGUUAAUACCCCGCUGUUCUGACGGUACCCAAAGAAUAAGCACCGGCUAACUUCGUG
rnacentral:rRNA from 1 species